UUUGAGGGGAAUGUUGUCUGGCUCGAGGCCAUUAACUUGGUCCAAUAAGAAUUUAAUUUCUUUUCCCUUUUGAGAUAAAAGGGAUCAUGGAUCAUGGGUUAGUGUCGUCGGACCAGGCUUCAUUCCCCCCAAA
rnacentral:pre_miRNA from 1 species